AAGUCGUAACAAGGUCUCCGUAGGUGAACCUGCGGAGGGAUCAUUACCGAGUUAGGGUCUCACCGGCCCGAUCUCCCAACCCUUUGUCUACUUGACCAUCGUUGCUUCGGCGAGCCCGUCCUCACGGACCGCCGGGGGGUCUUUGUACCCCUUGGCCCGCGCUCGUCGAUAGCCCCCAAAUUUAAAAAAUCUUAACUAAACGUGUCUUGAAUCUAAGUAUUAUUGUUAAAUAAAAACAAAACUUUCAACAACGGAUCUCUUGGUUCUGGCAUCGAUGAAGAACGCAGCGAAAUGCGAUAAGUAAUGCGAAUUGCAGAAUUCCAGUGAGUCAUCGAAUCUUUGAACGCACAUUGCGCCCUUUGGUAUUCCGAAGGGCAUGCCUGUUCGAGCGUCAUUAUCACCCCUCAAGCCCUCGGCUUGGUGUUGGACGGUUUGGUGGAGACCCCCCUCGGGUGGGCUUCUACCCCUCCCAAAGACAAUGACGGCGGCCUCGUUGGACCCCCGGUACACUGAGUUCUUCACGGGACACGUAUCGGACACAUGGGUUUACGGGACACCGGUCUGCCUCCCCUCAGGGAGAAUCUUUUUUUUAUCAAGGUUGACCUCGGAUCAGGUAGGGAUACCCGCUGAACUUAA
rnacentral:rRNA from 1 species